rnacentral:rRNA from 1 species
GUGUCAGCAGCCGCGGUAAGACGAACUGUCCAAACGUUAUUCGGAAUCACUGGGCUUAAAGGGUGCGUAGGCGGCCCGGGAAGUUGGGUGUGAAAUCCCUCGGCUCAACCGAGGAACUGCGCCCAAAACUGCCGGGCUCGAGGGAGACAGAGGUGUGCGGAACUUAGGGUGGAGCGGUGAAAUGCGUUGAUAUCCUAAGGAACACCAGUAGCGAAAGCGGCACACUGGGUCUCUUCUGACGCUGAUGCACGAAAGCUAGGGGAGCGAAGAGGAUUAGAUACCCUCGUAGUCCUAGCCGUAAACGAUGAGCACUGAUUUGGAGGGUCCUCCAUAGCCUUCCAGAUGUAGCGAAAGUGUUAAGUGCUCCGCCUGGGGAGUAUGGUCGCAAGGCUGAA